rnacentral:lncRNA from 1 species
CAUGGCCUGUGUCACGGCGACAGUUAAUCAGAUUGGAUGAUGGUCUGGAUUACAGCCACACCAUGUCGCAGUGCGCUUCCGGUUCUCGUUGUCUGAGCAUCCGAGACAAACUCCAUCUUACUAUUUGAGGCUGCCAAUAACCACCCUUCUGGGCUGGAUCGAUCUUGAUUUUUUUUUUUUGAAACGAGGCAAAAGAUUUGCUAUAUUGAUCAAGGAGUAAACAUUGUUGACCGAAGUCAAAGAAAAAAGAAAGAAAAAGAGGAAAAAGAGGAGAGGGCUAAGGCAAGAUGCUCGCGAGAUGCUUGGCUCCGGCGAGCGCCCAGGAGUGUCCCUCAUCUUUGAUCAGCUCGAUGAGAACUUGAGAGAGCGUGUGCACGCUACUGAAGACCCUGACAUUUCGCUCCUUCCAAAUUUCCCAU